GAUGAACGCUGGCGGCGUGCCUAAUACAUGCAAGUCGAGCGAACAGACGAGGAGCUUGCUCCUCUGACGUUAGCGGCGGACGGGUGAGUAACACGUGGAUAACCUACCUAUAAGACUGGGAUAACUUCGGGAAACCGGAGCUAAUACCGGAUAAUAUAUUGAACCGCAUGGUUCAAUAGUGAAAGACGGUUUUGCUGUCACUUAUAGAUGGAUCCGCGCCGCAUUAGCUAGUUGGUAAGGUAACGGCUUACCAAGGCGACGAUGCGUAGCCGACCUGAGAGGGUGAUCGGCCACACUGGAACUGAGGCACGGUCCAGACUCCUACGGGAAGCAGCAGUAGGGAAUCUUCCGCAAUGGGCGAAAGCCUGACGGAGCAACGCCGCGUGAGUGAUGAAGGUCUUCGGAUCGUAAAACUCUGUUAUUAGGGAAGAACAAAUGUGUAAGUAACUAUGCACGUCUUGACGGUACCUAAUCAGAAAGCCACGGCUAACUACGUG
rnacentral:rRNA from 1 species